UGGGGAAUAUUGCACAAUGGGCGCAAGCCUGAUGCAGCCAUGCCGCGUGUAUGAAGAAGGCCUUCGGGUUGUAAAGUACUUUCAGCGGGGAGGAAGGGAGUAAAGUUAAUACCUUUGCUCAUUGACGUUACCCGCAGAAGAAGCACCGGCUAACUCCGUGCCAGCAGCCGCGGUAAUACGGAGGGUGCAAGCGUUAAUCGGAAUUACUGGGCGUAAAGCGCACGCAGGCGGUUUAUUAAGUCAGAUGUGAAAUCCCCGGGCUCAACCUGGGAACUGCAUCUGAUACUGGCAAGCUUGAGUCUCGUAGAGGGGGGUAGAAUUCCAGGUGUAGCGGUGAAAUGCGUAGAGAUCUGGAGGAAUACCGGUGGCGAAGGCGGCCCCCUGGACAAAGACUGACGCUCAGGUGCGAAAGCGUGGGGAGCAAACAGG
rnacentral:rRNA from 1 species